rnacentral:rRNA from 1 species
GAGCGGAGCGAGGGUGCUUGCACCUUAGCUUAGCGGCGGACGGGUGAGUAAUGCUUAGGAAUCUGCCUAUUAGUGGGGGACAACAUUCCGAAAGGGAUGCUAAUACCGCAUACGCCCUACGGGGGAAAGCAGGGGAUCUUCUGACCUUGCGCUAAUAUAUGAGCCUAAAUCGGAUUAUCUAGUUGGGGGGGUAAAGGCCUACCCAGGCGACGAUCUGUAGCGGGUCUGAGAGGAUGAUCCGCCACACUGGGACUGAGACACGGCCCACACUCCCACGGGAGGGAGCAGUGGGGAAAAUUGGACAAUGGGGGGAACCCUGAUCCACCCAUGCCGCGUGUGUGAAAAAAGCCUUUUGGGUGUGAAACACUUUUAACGAGGAGGAGGCGCUCUAGGCUAAUAC